GAUGAAGAACGCAGCGAAAUGCGAUACUUGGUGUGAAUUGCAGAAUCCCGUGAACCAUCGAGUCUUUGAACGCAAGUUGCGCCUCAAGCCAUUAGGUUGAGGGCACGUCUGCCUGGGCGUCACAUAUCGUUGCCUGAUGCCAGUUUCCUCGUGAUGGGUGACUGUGCAGGGCGAAUGAUGGCUUCCCGUGAGCAUUGUUGCCUCAUGGUUGGUUGAAAAUUGAGUCCUUGGUAGGGAGCGCCGUGAUAGAUGGUGGUUGAGUGACGAACGAGACCCAAUCAUGUGAGACCCCUACCGAAUUUGGCCUUCAUGACCAACAUGCGUCUUUGGAACGCUCAUGACGAGACCUCAGGUCAGGCGGGGCUACCCGCUGAGUUUAAGCAUAUCAAUAAGCGGAGGA
rnacentral:misc_RNA from 1 species